GCGGGGAUACCCGAGUCUGGUCUAAGGGGCAGGGCACACCCUGUGGCGCAGGCCUUCGUGGGUUCGAAUCCCACUCCCCGCACCA
rnacentral:tRNA from 1 species